ACGAACGCUGGCGGCACGCUUAACACAUGCAAGUCGAACGAGAGAAGAGAAGCUUGCUUUUCUGAUCUAGUGGCGGACGGGUGAGUAACACGUGAGCAAUCUGCCUUUCAGAGGGGGAUACCGAUUGGAAACGAUCGUUAAUACCGCAUAAUAUAAUUGAACCGCAUGAUUUGAUUAUCAAAGAUUUAUCGCUGAAAGAUGAGCUCGCGUCUGAUUAGCUAGUUGGUAAGGUAACGGCUUACCAAGGCGACGAUCAGUAGCCGGACUGAGAGGUUGAUCGGCCACAUUGGGACUGAGACACGGCCCAGACUCCUACGGGAGGCAGCAGUGGGGAAUAUUGCACAAUGGAGGAAACUCUGAUGCAGCGAUGCCGCGUGAGGGAAGAAGGUUUUAGGAUUGUAAACCUCUGUCUUCAGGGACGAAAAAAGACGGUACCUGAGGAGGAAGCUCCGGCUAACUACGUGCCAGCAGCCGCGGUAAUACGUAGGGAGCGAGCGUUGUCCGGAAUUACUGGGUGUAAAGGGAGCGUAGGCGGGAUCGCAAGUCAGAUGUGAAAACUAUGGGCUUAACCCAUAAACUGCAUUUGAAACUGUGGUUCUUGAGUGAAGUAGAGGUAAGCGGAAUUCCUAGUGUAGCGGUGAAAUGCGUAGAUAUUAGGAGGAACAUCAGUGGCGAAGGCGGCUUACUGGGCUUUAACUGACGCUGAGGCUCGAAAGCGUGGGGAGCAAACAGGAUUAGAUACCCUGGUAGUCCACGCCGUAAACGAUGAUUACUAGGCGUGGGGGGACUGACCCCUUCCGUGCCGCAGCAAACGCAAUAAGUAAUCCACCUGGGGAGUACGACCGCAAGGUUGAAACUCAAAGGAAUUGACGGGGGCCCGCACAAGCAGUGGAGUAUGUGGAUUAAUUCGAAGCAACGCGAAGAACCUUACCAGGUCUUGACAUCGUAUGCAUAGCUCAGAGAUGAGUGAAAUCUCUUCGGAGACAUAUAGACAGGUGGUGCAUGGUUGUCGUCAGCUCGUGUCGUGAGAUGUUGGGUUAAGUCCCGCAACGAGCGCAACCCUUACUGUUAGUUGCUACGCAAGAGCACUCUAGCAGGACUGCCGUUGACAAAACGGAGGAAGGUGGGGAUGACGUCAAAUCAUCAUGCCCCUUAUGACCUGGGCCUCACACGUACUACAAUGGCUGUAAACAGAGGGAUGCAAAGCCGCGAGGUGGAGCGAACCCCUAAAAGCAGUCUUAGUUCGGAUUGUAGGCUGCAACCCGCCUACAUGAAGUCGGAAUUGCUAGUAAUCGCAGAUCAGCGUGCUGCGGUGAAUACGUUCCCGGGCCUUGUACACACCGCCCGUCACGCCAUGGGAGUCGGUAACACCCGAAGCCUGUAGUCUAACCGCAAGGAGGACGCAGUCGAAGGUGGGAUUGAUGACUGGGGUG
rnacentral:rRNA from 1 species